UGAAGUUGUAACCCGCUGUCGAACUGGAAUGUGCAAACGCUGACACCUUAAGCCGUAGCACUCAUGCAGGCAAUGUGGGCCAUUCUAUAGCCUCGCUGUACUUCCCUGGCCUCUAUACUGCAGCAAAAAAGCAAAUCCACAUCAAAGUCUUCAUGGAGAAGUGAGUUUUGAAGUGAUAAUCUGAAGGACAGUGAUUCACUGCUACAGAUAACCUGCUGCACGGGGCCAAUGAGAUGCUGCUUCAGACCAAGAAAAACAGUGCAAAUCUCGCCACAGAAAGACUAUCCAUGCCGACCUGUGAGCCGAACUCAUCAACUCUCAGCUACCAGCCUUGGAUGAAUGAAAUCAGACCCCUGCAGCCCUCAGCUGGAGUUUUAUCAGUGGUUGGCCGAAGGUCCGCGCACACACGUUACUAGUUCAGCCUACGCAAAAGCUGCCUAUUAUCUUCAACCAUUUAGGUCUCCGUUCAUUCCCGUGCCCUUUUAUUUUUACAUCUGUCUGUUCUUUUUCACACCCCUUCCAUUUUUUCCAGCACGUUG